rnacentral:rRNA from 1 species
CAGUCGCCGCGGGAAUACGAACCGUGCGAACGUUAUUCGGAAUUACUGGGCUUAAAGCGCGUGUAGGCGGGUCGGCACGUCGGUCGCUGAAAUCCCCCGGCUCAACCGGGGAAGUGGCGCCGAUACGGCCGGCCUGGAGGGGGGUAGGGGGGCCUGGAACUUCCGGUGGAGCGGUGAAAUGCGUUGAGAUCGGAAGGAACGCCCGUGGCGAAAGCGAGGCCCUGGACCCUUCCUGACGCUGAGACGCGAAAGCCAGGGGAGCGAACGGGAUUAGAUACCCCAGUAGUCCCUGUCUCUUAUU